rnacentral:rRNA from 1 species
UGUAUGUUGAAAAAUACUUGGAUGAGUUGUGGAUAGGGGUGAAAGGCCAAUCAAACUUGGAGAUAUCUUGUUCUCUCCGAAAUAACUUUAGGGUUAGCCUUGACUUACCACCUUUUGGGGGUAGAGCACUGGAUUCCCGCGGGGGCCUACCGGCCUACCAACGGAAACCAAACUCCGAAUACUAAAAGGAAAGUCAGGAGAUAGACAGUGGGGGAUAAGCUUCAUUGUCAAGAGGGGAACAGCCCAGAUCGUCGAUUAAGGCCCCUAAUUCUAUGCUAAGUGUGUAAGGAUGUGAAGUUUCACAGACAGUUGGAAUGUUGGCUUAGAGGCAGCCACCAUUUAAAGAGUGCGUAACAGCUCACCAACCGAGAAAUUUUGCGCCGAUAAUAAACGGGACUAAGCAUAGAGCCGAAAUCACGGGUGCUAUACUUUUGUAUAGCGCGGUAGGAGAGCGUAGUAUGUGCGGUGAAGAUAUACCGAAAGGAGUGUUGGAGCGCAUACUAGUGAGGAUGCAUGGCAUGAGUAUACGAUAAAGGAGGUGAGAAUCCUCCUCGCCGAAAGCCUAAGGUUUCCAGGGUAAAGCUCGUCUUCCCUGGGUUAGCCGGCCCCUAAGCCGAGGCAGAAAUGCGUAGGCGAUGGAAAGCAGGUUAAAUAUUCCUGCGCCACCUAAAACUAUGGUGAUGGGACGACGAAGUAUGUUAAGCACGCGGACGAUUGGAUGUUCGUUUCUCUA